ensembl:lncRNA novel transcript
AUACCAAAAGCUGUCCUCAUUGAGUCAUCCCUCCCAGAGCAGGAAGAGCAGAGGUUCUGGGAAACAACCCCAAGGAGAGAGACAGGGCAUUUAUAAAACAGCAUGUAAGCAUCUCUGCAGUUGCUGUCCCCAGAGCCCACUUCCUGGAUAUUGCCAGCUGCCUGGACCAACCUUUCCGAAAGAUCAGCCAGGUCACAGUGAGGGUCAAAGGUACCAGCGAAGAGGGCAAGAACACAGCACUACUUCCUUGGAUACUGUUUCCCUCCUCAGAGGGGUUUUCUGAGCUGCCCUGGGUCCUGUGAGGAAGGCAGAAGUCCUAGCAGAGUAUGCCCACGCUGGUUAGUGCUGCUGCAAAGAUGAGCCGAAGACCAUGAGAGACCUCCAGGUGGUCCUUCUGGGGAGAAGAAAUGGGUUUUGGCCCCAAAUCCUUCUGCUGCAUUUUUCCCCUAUCCCUGGGAAGCCAUGAGACCUCAAACCUGUGUUCCCAAGGAGGCGAGCUGCUGUUCCCAGGUGAUGAUAUGAUGUGCUUGGGGAAAGUAAGUGGCUGCCAGACAUGGCUGAGAGCUGUUGUCACUGCCGUCAAGUGCAUGUCUCCAAGCCAUAUCACACGGCGUCCCUCGAUGUGAGGCCACAUGGCAAGUGGGCCGUGGAUCUCCCUCUGCCCUUUGCAAGCACGUAAGACAGCAGAUUUUGCAGAUACCUUGUGGCGCAGGGGAAUUUCCUUUGGCCAGGUCUGAAGAAAUAAAGCAGCAGGCACCGAGAACAAAGCCAAGGCUUUCAAAAGACAAGGAGCCAAAAAACUUACUCAAAAUAAAAGUAGUUUUAAAAU